UCCGGAGGGUGCGAGCGUUGUCCGGAAUCAUUGGGCGUAAAGGGCGCGUAGGUGGCGGGACAAGCGUGCGGUGAAAGCCUGGGGCUCAACCCCGGGUCGGCCGUGCGAACUGUUUUGCUUGAGCACUGUAGAGGCAGGCGGAAUUCCGGGUGUAGCGGUGGAAUGCGUAGAGAUCCGGAAGAACACCGGUGGCGAAGGCGGCCUGCUGGGCAGUAGCUGACACUGAGGCGCGACAGCGUGGGGAGCAAACAGG
rnacentral:rRNA from 1 species